CCUGAGAAACCCAAAAGAUCGAAUGGGGAGAUUCAUCGUCAGCGAUUUUGGUACGUGUGCGGUUCGCGAUGCCGGAGACGCAAGUCUCACGGUACGCGUCCGUAUGUUUUUUAUUGCCUCAAUCGUCGGCGUGCACUUCUCCCCUAGUAGGACGUCGCGACCCGUUGGGUGUCGGUCUACGGCCCGGUGGGUAGCCUGUCUCGUGUGGCGCUUGCGUCACGCGGUUCAGACCCCCGGUCGCCCGACCGGCUGCCCGGCGGUACUCGCACGGUAUCUGGCCGCAAAUAUUCGAACUGCGUCCGGCCCGUCGCAAGCGAGGCAAGUGUUUCCCGGCUGUACGGAUCUAAUGCCGUCACCGGGCCUUGCCAGCUGUUGGCUGACGGUGUCCUAGGACAGGCUAACAAAAAUUAUGAUACCGGUCGGCGACGCUACUGCUUUGGGUACUUUCAGGACCCGUCUUGAAACACGGACCAAGGAGUCUAACAUGUGCGCGAGUCAUUGGGAACUAUUAAGCCUAAAGGCGCAAUGAAAGUGAAGGUCGGCCUUGCGCCGACCGAGGGAGGAUGGSCCGCGUCACGAUGCGGUCCCGCACUCCCGGGGCGUCUCGUUCUCAUUG
rnacentral:rRNA from 1 species